UCCUUUUAAUUAUGUCAAUUUGUCUUUUCAAUACCAUUAAUGAAGGAUAAUUUUGUAAAAUCCUUCCUAAUUUAUCUUUUUCAUAACAUAAUUAUUACAUUUCUUAAUACGUGUGAAAAGUCAAAAACGACUUAUAAUAAAAAACGGAGGGAGUACUAAGUAACCAAUAAUGACAAACAUUCACAAGAAAGAAGUUCAACCGAUUACUCAAACUGAUAGUUAUAUUUUCAAAUUAUGGUAAUUCAUCACAAUUGUAUCAUACUCAAUGUAUCCAAAAACUAAUAGUUCUAUACUUCAUCUAGAGUGAAUUAAUAUAAUUGUUGUCAUCACUCCCAAGAUAUGUAUCCAAAGCUAUUUGACAUGCCAUCCUAGGCUUCACUGCUGAGUUUGACCAUCAAUUCAAACUUGAUGUAUCCUUAGCUUCAAUGUUGAGUUCGUCCAUGAAUUCAAACUUGGUGUGGCAGUAGAAUAUAUUGUGUUAAAUGCAUAAAAAUUGAUAGUGAGGAACCUAAACCAUAAAGCAUACUCUGAACCUGUCAGAAGCAAGGAUUUCUUAAAAAAAAACAAUUAUCAAUCAUGCAUGAUGAGAUGAAUUCAUUGAACAAAAAUAGAACUUGUGUAUUGGCUAACAAACCAACUUUCCAAGCCCACACAUCAACAUUCACCCAAAACAACCAAAGAACAAACUUACAAGAAGAAAGUUCCUAAGUUGUUUUGGAUGAAUGUUGAUGUGAUCUCCCUCAUACACAUCAUCACAGAUUGCAUGUGUUUGAAAUUAUAUUGAACAUGGUCACACAAGUAUCUGAGACAUAUACGCAAACACCUGCCAUGCAUAGAAAAACACUUACAUUCAUAGUACAUGCAACAACAUCAACCAUUGAAAUUACAAUUAACUCUCAUAGUAAUACAAUAACUAUAUGUUACUAGUCAUAGAAGAUAGAGAAAAAAAAUUAAUGUGUGUAAAUGUAUGGGUCAUACUGGCAGCAAGAACAUGAGAAGUUAGAUCUGCAAAGCGGUUCCCAAAAAUUUGAUUUUGCACUUAUAAUUAGGCCAAAGAUAACAUUUUUCAAUUACACAGCCUUUUUCCAGUUUAGUGCAGAAUCUAAACAAAACAACAACAUAAUUCAAAAUAUGCUUCAAAAAAACAAGAUGAAAAGGAAAGACAGUAAUAAACACAACAGCAACUACAUGCAAUUUAGGUGGUGAAACCGCAAAGCUUCUUCUUUGAUGGGAUUUGGAGCAGCUUUGAAAUUUGAUGAAAUAUUGAUGGAUGCAGAAUGAAGGAGGUUGGAAUUUAUAGUGCGAGAAUGGAGAAAUUAGGGUACCUGUAUUUGGGCCUAUUAGGUUGUUGGGCCUAGAUUUUAAGAGCUAAUAAGCCCAUUUUGGGUUUCUUGAGAAACUUCCUACAUAGGCCGCCACGAUUGCUUCCCUUACAUAUCAACACGUGUGGAGGAUAAUAAAACCUGGCAACACCAUGUAAAAGGUUGUGCUAUCUUUUUAAAAACUAUGGGAAAAAACCA
rnacentral:lncRNA from 1 species